AUUGAACGCUGGCGGCAUGCCUUACACAUGCAAGUCGAACGGCAGCACGGGUGCUUGCACCUGGUGGCGAGUGGCGAACGGGUGAGUAAUACAUCGGAACAUGUCCUGUAGUGGGGGAUAGCCCGGCGAAAGCCGGAUUAAUACCGCAUACGAUCUACGGAUGAAAGCGGGGGACCUUCGGGCCUCGCGCUAUCGGGUUGGCCGAUGGCUGAUUAGCUAGUUGGUGGGGUAAAGGCCUACCAAGGCGACGAUCAGUAGCUGGUCUGAGAGGACGACCAGCCACACUGGGACUGAGACACAGCCCAGACUCCUACGGGAGGCAGCAGUGGGGAAUUUUGGACAAUGGGCGAAAGCCUGAUCCAGCAAUGCCGCGUGUGUGAAGAAGGCCUUCGGGUUGUAAAGCACUUUUGUCCGGAAAGAAAUCCUUGGCCCUAAUACGGUCGGGGGAUGACGGUACCGGAAGAAUAAGCACCGGCUAACUACGUG
rnacentral:rRNA from 1 species